rnacentral:rRNA from 1 species
AUUGAACGCUAGCGGCAGGCCUAACACAUGCAAGUCGAACGAGUGGCGGACGGGUGAGUAAUGUAUGGGAACCUGCCCGAUGGAGGGGGAUAACUACUGGAAACGGUAGCUGAUACCGCAUACCAUCGGAUGUGCCAAGAUGGGAUUAGCUAGUGGGUGGGGUAACGGCUCACCUAGGCGACGAUCCCUAGCUGGUCUGAGAGGAUGACCAGCCACACUGGGACUGAGACACGUCCCAGACUCCUACGGGAGGCAGCAGUGGGGAAUUUUGCACAAUGGGCGCAACCCUUAUCCAGCCAUGCCGCGUGUAUGAUGAAGGCCUUCGGGUUGUAAAGUACUUUCAGCGAGGAGGCGUUACUCGCAGAAGAAGCACCGGCUAACUCCGUGCCAGCAGCCGCGGUAAUUC